rnacentral:rRNA from 1 species
UUGGAAACGAUAGCUAAUACCGCAUAACAAUGGAUGACCCAUGUCAUUUAUUUGAAAGGGGCAAAUGCUCCACUACAAGAUGGACCUGCGUUGUAUUAGCUAGUAGGUGAGGUAACGGCUCACCUAGGCGACGAUACAUAGCCGACCUGAGAGGGUGAUCGGCCACACUGGGACUGAGACACGGCCCAGACUCCUACGGGAGGCAGCAGUAGGGAAUCUUCGGCAAUGGGGGCAACCCUGACCGAGCAACGCCGCGUGAGUGAAGAAGGUUUUCGGAUCGUAAAGCUCUGUUGUAAGUCAAGAACGAGUGUGAGAGUGGAAAGUUCACACUGUGACGGUAGCUUACCAGAAAGGGACGGCUAACUACGUGCCAGCAGCCGCGGUAAUACGUAGGUCCCGAGCGUUGUCCGGAUUUAUUGGGCGUAAAGCGAGCGCAGGCGGUUUGAUAAGUCUGAAGUUAAAGGCUGUGGCUCAACCAUAGUUCGCUUUGGAAACUGUCAAACUUGAGUGCAGAAGGGGAGAGUGGAAUUCCAUGUGUAGCGGUGAAAUGCGUAGAUAUAUGGAGGAACACCGGUGGC